rnacentral:rRNA from 1 species
CAGUAGCCGCGGUAAUACGAAGGGUGCAAGCGUUACUCGGAAUUACUGGGCGUAAAGCGUGCGUAGGCGGUUCGUUAAGUCCGAUGUGAAAGCCCUGGGCUCAACCUGGGAACUGCAUUGGAAACUGGCGGGCUGGAGUGCGGUAGAGGGUGGCGGAAUUCCCGGUGUAGCAGUGAAAUGCGUAGAUAUCGGGAGGAACACCCGUGGCGAAGGCGGCCACCUGGACCAGCACUGACGCUGAGGCACGAAAGCGUGGGGAGCAAACAGGAUUAGAGACCCCAGUAGUCCCUGUCUCUUAUAC